GACGAACCGUGCGAACGUUGUUCGGAUUCACUGGGCUUAAAGGGCGCGUAGGCGGGCGACCAAGUCAGGGGUGAAAUCCUCCAGCUUAACUGGAGAACAGCCUCUGAUACUGGAUGGCUUGAGUUCGGGAGAGGUGAGUGGAACUGCGAGUGUAGAGGUGAAAUUCGUAGAUAUUCGCAAGAACACCAGUGGCGAAGGCGGCUCACUGGCCCGGUACUGACGCUGAGGUGCGAAAGCGUGGGGAGCAAACAGG
rnacentral:rRNA from 1 species